AACCAGUUAAGUACAUACUUUUAUGCUCUGUGUUUAGUAGUAAUUUAUGACCUUGUGAUUACUUUUAAUUCACUCGCUUGCUCCUUUUAUGGUUUUCUCUUAGAGCCUUGCUCUGGCAUUGUAUUUUUGUUUCCCUGUGGUGUGCUACUCUGGUCCCCCUUUUCACCGCACAUGGCGUUACCGCCGUCCGUCCUACCCCAUCC